AGAGACAGCAGCAGCCGCGGGAAAACAGAGGGUGCGAGCGUUAAUCGGAUUUACUGGGCGUAAAGCGUGCGUAGGCGGCUUCUUAAGUCGGAUGUGAAAUCCCUGAGCUUAACUUAGGAAUUGCAUUCGAUACUGGGAAGCUAGAGUAUGGGAGAGGAUGGUAGAAUUCCAGGUGUAGCGGUGAAAUGCGUAGAGAUCUGGAGGAAUACCGAUGGCGAAGGCAGCCAUCUGGCCUAAUACUGACUCUGAGGUACGAAAGCAUGGGGAGCAAACAGGAUUAGAUACCCCUGUAGUCCCUGUCUCUUAUAC
rnacentral:rRNA from 1 species